GUCAUGCCUGUUUACAACUGGCUGACUGUAAAAUUAUCUAAUCACAUAUUUACUGUGUAUUUAUAUACAUAUUCAGUUUGUCGAAUCAGGAACCUAACUUACAAUUUUGAGAGAGUGAGCCAGCAGUGGGGUGUUAUUAUGUACCUGCAGCUGUGAUUUGAAGGCUAUGUGCAGGUUGUCAUCUCUUCCCCUCGGCAGAGCUCUGAGGAAAGAAGAGUUCAUCAAGAGAAAUAUCCUGCUCCAGUGGAGCACAGCAACCCCUGUCAAACACACACACACACACACAGGGGUGCUUAUGUAAAUUGGUAAGUUUCGGAGUCAGGGUGGGAUUCCGACAUCGCUGUGUGGGGAGACACCGAUGAAAUCCUCACGCUUUUUUUGCCCAGUGUGUCUUGAGACUGAGAGAGCACAGGAGAACAAAUGAUCAGCAUACACUUUCUGACCAAGUCACCCGUACUUACACUGCACAUGACUUUAUCAGAUUAUGACAUAACUUGGUAAUUUAACUGAUUUUUAUAUGUGCUGGGCUGAAUCCUUUUUUUGAAACAAAUAUCUGUUGCUGUUAGUGAAAGGAAAGGGCAACUUAAAUUGUCACAGUAUUACUGUAUUAUUGAUCAAGUGAUGUUAUUUCUGAAGUUAAGGCACACACUUGUUAUUUCAUAUUUGUGUCUUUCCAGGUGAGCUCGGCGCAGUCUAAUGGCAACAUUACGAGUUCAACACCCUCUCGUAAACUACACCCACCUGCGCCAAAGGUCCGCAAGAGUGGGAUCCAUGAGGCCAUGAAAGCCAUCGGCCUCUGCCACAAUGGUAAACCAGUGUACGAAUCCCGUGUUAACGGUGCCAGCGCGGAGCCAGAGAGUACAGAGGCCGACCAGGACUUCAGUGACGACAACCGCACUUACCAGACUCCAAUCCUGAUGAGAGACCUGACGUCCCUCAAGCUGAAGACCCCAGUCGGACACAUCUUGACCUAUUACAUCCUCCAGAUCCUUCCCUUCACCUCUGAGAGCAAGCACAUGGGCAUUAAUGUCAGGAUGUGUAUCCAACUACAAGUGUGCAAGUGUGUUUGAGGAGGCUCCCGGCGACAUCACGUUUUACAUGAAAGGGGCUGAUGUUACCAUGUGAGCAUUGUACAGUACAAUGAUUGGCCGGAGGACGAGUGUGGGAACAUGGCCAGAGAGGGCCUCGGACACUGGUGGACACUAAGAAACAGACUGAACAGUGAUAAACCAGCUGUAUUUCCACCCUCAAGUCAUUAUAAUCAGGUGAAGUUGAGUGCACACGAUCGCACCCUGAAGGUGGUGGCAGUGGUGGAGAGUCUGGAGAGAGAGAUGGAGCUUCUGUGUCUCAGUGGAGUGGAAGAUCAGCUGCAGGCUGAUGUCCGGCCCACACUGGAGCUCCUCCACAAUGCUGGGAUCAAGAUCUGGACGUUGACCGGAGACAAGCUGGAAACAUCUAUCGCCAAAAGUUCCCGAUAAGUUUCUAAAAAUCAAGACAUCCACGUUUUCAGAACCUAGUUCUGAUCCUGAUGAUUUGGAUUUUUAAGUGAAGUGGAUUUAGUGUGAACGCUCUAUGGGGUUUUUGUGACAGGUGUCCAACAGGGCCGAGGCUCAUCUGGAGCUGAACUCCUUCAGAAGGAAACACAACUGUGUGCUGGUCAUAUCAGGGGACUCUCUGGAGGUCUGAGCUACUGUGUGAAUGAAUUUGAGCUGGCGUGUCUGUGCCCUGCUGUGGCUUGCUGUCGCUGCUCUCCCACGCAGAAAGCUCAGAUCGUUCGAUUGUUACAGCAACAUACAGCCAACGGAACAUGUGCCAUAGGCGAUGGAGGAAAUGAUGUCAGCAUGAUCCAAGCGGCAGACUGUGGUAUCGGUAUUGAAGGGAAGGGGGCGUCCUGAUGGAUGUGCACGUGGUGGCGAUCUCCUCCACUGCUCUGAUGCUGACGGAGCUGCUGAUGGUGGCGCUGAUGGUCCGCACCUGGCACUGGCUCAUGGUCGUAGCCCAACUUAUCAGUCUUGGCUGCUACCUCGCUCCCCUCCCCUCGCCUGCCUGAAUGAAUAGUUUGAUCUUUCGUUUAUCACGACACGGAUGUUCUUGCGGAAGGUGUGUGUCAUCACGCUGGUCAGCUGUUUGACGCUCUACAUCAUCAAAUAUCUGAAGCCGAAAUGCUCCACAGAGGAGUUAUUCCAAACUCUCCUCCUAACUUUCCAUAUGGUCACAUGGUGUCAAAAGGCAAGUGCACGUGACUUUGAAACUUUGAAAUUCAUCUAUUGCUUUUUUUUUUAUGCUGAAUGUUAGUUCACCAAAAAAUGAACACGCUAACAUCAUUUACUCACCUCAUAUUUUUUUUUUUAAACCUUUAUGGCUUAGGGUCUUUUUUGGGAAACCCAAAAGGAGAAGUUUAGCCAAAUGUUCAUGCUGCUCCUUUCCAUACAAUGGUGAGCAUAGGGCUGUCACUUUUCAAAAUUGCAACAUCUUAAAGUCUACUUUUGUGUUUGAAAUUCCUACCUUUAAAUUGACAUAAAGGUGAGUAGAUAAUGACCAAACAUUAAUUUUUGAGUCAGACCAUCACUUUAAGCAUCGAAUACAAAUGCCUGAAAGUGCUUUUAUGAUGCUGUUUACCUGUGCUUCAUAAAUGCAUUUUUCAGUGACAUAAUGUGAUUUGUGCGUGUAUAUUUAUUGACUUCUCAUCAUGUUUCUGCACUUAAAGAUGUUGGCACAGUUCUAGGAUGAAACGGUGAGUAGUAUUGAGUUCUUGAAGAGGAUUAAGCACAAAAAAGAGAUCAAGAUAGAAAUAAAAGAAAAGCCAAAGGGUUUGAGGCACCCACACCUGUCACUUUUCACUUACCGUAAAUGCAUACAGAGGAAAAAAAAUCAGCAUUACAUAUUUUUAUUGAAUAGAUUAUGGAUUUUUAUAGCUUUUUUAUUUAUAAAUGUUAUUAUUGGUUGUAUGUAAUGAUGUUAAUAGUUUCAUGAUAAAGUAUCAGCUAUAAUGAACCUUUCAUCAUUAGUAUUAUCACACCUAUUAGCACUAUUUUUCAUCUCAUUUUGGCACAUUCUGUAUUAUUGACUUUAUUAAUGAGAUCUGGGUGGCCGUAAUAAAUGAAAGAUUUUUUAUAAGAUCAUGAAAAACUGCAAACAAAAAGCAGUUGGAUAUCCUAACUUUGUCCCUUGAUGAAGUUGGCUCAGUAAUGUGUAAGAUCAUCUUGCCUUAUCUUUAUCAAGUCAACUGGUAUGAGGAAUGAGUUUUAUCAUUCUCUUUAUUUUCCAUACUGAGUGUGUGAGAGAGUGUGUGUGUGUGUGUGUGUGUGUGUGUGUGUGUGUGUGUGUUUACAAUACUGAAAGAGAUGAUGUCAAGCACAUGCGCUGUUUCUUUCUUGCUGUGUGUUAUGAUGGUUCUCCAGUCUGCUUUGAAGAUGUUGAGUUGUACUGCACUCAGGAAAUCCACUGAUUUAUUUUACUGGAUAUAAACCUUAAACUAACCCUGUGACAGGCCCAACACCAAUAGCUUAUUUAAUAUUUGUUUGAGUAUUUGAGUACCAGUUUGAGUGAGUAUAAGGUUUUCUCUCUUAAAUAUUUAUAAUGCAGCACUGUUUAACUUACCUGGCAAUUAUUUGUAUGCAUUGCUUCUAACCACUAGAGAGCGGCAUUUACACAGUAUUUACUGUCACAGAAGACAAAUAUUGGACCCAUAUGGUAACUACAUGUGUUGACAAGAUUUCUGUUCAAUGAGGCUUUCAGGACUGUGA